rnacentral:rRNA from 1 species
GAUUUGUUGGUGGUCCAAACGGAAGAGUAAAGCAGCUUGUGUAACUCACGCGGCCUCGAAGGAGACGAGGAGCGCAGCGGGUGCCUCGGGCAAGCGGCGGCGGUAGCUCGAGGAGCGCGGCGAGAAGCGGCUGGAGGACGCGGCGGUGGGGUGACUGCGGCAGCACAAGCUACCACAGGAUGGCACCCGGCGGUGGUGGCAGCGGCUCGAGCCGUAGAGCGUCAUGCGCAAGUAGCCGUACCCGACGAAGUGCGAGAGGCACGUCGCCAGGGACGAGGAGGUGUGGGGCGUCCUCUCUCAGCGCAGCGGGUACCUCGGCAAGGAGCACAGCCCGGAGGUGCUGCGCCAUGCCGAGUGGUCCAACUCCGAGCGGCUCCGCUGCGAGGGGCCGUGCCUGAGCGCCCUCAAGAACUUGGCGUACAAGCUGUAGCCCGCACGGUGCCAGCCGACCAGCAGUUGAGCAAGCGGCUGUAGCUCGUCUCCAUGUAGUUCGUGAUGCUCUUCUGAUGGCCCUUCGGUCACAAGCGGCAGCCCGCCACGGCUCCGUGCGCCGACU